AAAACAACGCAAACCAAAUAAAAAAAAAAUAAUUUGAGAUAAUAACGAACUAAACAAAGCUGAGAAAGUCAUCAGACAAAUCACUCCACGAACUGAGAACGGCCUUGGGGACGAAGUGAAGUUCUCCACCGUAAGCAUAAGACGUAGACCAUCACUGGACCAAGAGGCGACGCCAGUUGUAUCGUUGGACCACCACUUGAUUCACGCU